rnacentral:lncRNA from 1 species
CGAAGUAUUGAUUAUCACCAAAUAUGUAACCCUGGCUCUGAUACCAAACUGUCACACCCCAAUUUUUGAAAGAUAAAUUUCAAAAAUUUUGGCAUGAUAUAUCCUAAAAUAUUAAUAUCCCAAAACCUGUUUCAACAAAAAUCAAGGAAAAUAAACUCAAUGCGUAAUGUAAAUUUACACACAACUCCAAAUUGAGUUAAAUAUUACAUUUCCUUGUUUACAUAACUUGAGAACAAGAAAGGGAACGCUCACAUGAGUUUAAUAAUUCCUAUCCCAAUGUAUAUAAAAAGAAUAUACAAAGACACACCCAAAACCCAACAAAAACCCUGCCACUACGCCUCCAUCUCAACCCUGCUGAUCCUCACCUGCAGGUCUAACACCUACACCAAGAAAUGGUGCACCGGGUUGUAAACAACAAACCCGGUAAGCUAAAAAGCUCGUAUGAGUAAACUCAAAAACAACACAACAUUUAUCACAUCCAAUAUUCACAAGAGAGAUUGGAUUAAUAAUUAAAAACCACACAUCAAACACAUUACCCAAGAAAUGUACCCAUGAGUCCCAGAAAUUUAAUAAAAAUACCUCUCAUGACCUACAACAACACUAUGUGUACCCAUGGGUCCCAGAUACCAUACAGUAUCUCCCAUGACCUACAAUGACAGACGGACUAGAGCUCUAUUCCUAACCGCAACCAAUC